CCUACGGGGGGCAGCAGUGAGGAAUAUUGGUCAAUGGGCGGGAGCCUGAACCAGCCAAGUCGCGUGAGGGAUUAAGGUACAGCGUAUCGUAAACUUCUUUUGUCAGGGAACAAAGGCGGGGACUAGUCCCCGGAUGCGUGUACCUUAAGAAUAAGCAUCGGCUAACUCCGUGCCAGCAGCCGCGGUAAUACGGAGGAUGCGAGCGUUAUCCGGAUUUAUUGGGUUUAAAGGGUGCGCAGGCGGCUUGUUAAGUCAGUGGUAAAAGCCUGCGGCUCAACCC
rnacentral:rRNA from 1 species